rnacentral:rRNA from 1 species
GGUUAAGCGACUAAGCGUACACGGUGGAUGCCUAGGCAGUCAGAGGCGAUGAAGGACGUGCUAAUCUGCGAAAAGCGUCGGUAAGCUGAUAUGAAGCGUAACAGCCGGCGAUGUCCCGAAUGGGGAAACCCAGUGCAAUCCGUUGCACUAU